rnacentral:ncRNA from 1 species
GAUUUCAGCAUGCUGAAAGGUACUAGAAGGUUAAAUGGGAAGUGAGACUAUCGAUUUUUCGAUGUUGCCUUCGCUGCCCCCGCAACGGUAUGGUUCGCCUAGUAAUAAGAUCAACCAUUACAUUAGGUAUUUAGAACACGAGCCCGGAACCAGCCACAGCCUGUAUUUUGUA